GAUGAACGCUGGCGGCGUGCUUAACACAUGCAAGUCGAACGAUGAAGCCCAGCUUGCUGGGUGGAUUAGUGGCGAACGGGUGAGUAACACGUGAGUAACCUGCCCUUAACUCUGGGAUAAGCCUGGGAAACUGGGUCUAAUACCGGAUAGGAGCGCCUACCGCAUGGUGGGUGUUGGAAAGAUUUAUCGGUUUUGGAUGGACUCGCGGCCUAUCAGCUUGUUGGUGAGGUAAUGGCUCACCAAGGCGACGACGGGUAGCCGGCCUGAGAGGGUGACCGGCCACACUGGGACUGAGACACGGCCCAGACUCCUACGGAAGGCAGCAGUGGGGAAUAUUGCACAAUGGGCGAAAGCCUGAUGCAGCGACGCCGCGUGAGGGAUGACGGCCUUCGGGUUGUAAACCUCUUUCAGUAGGGAAGAAGCGAAAGUGACGGUACCUGCAGAAGAAGCACCGGCUAACUACGUG
rnacentral:rRNA from 1 species